rnacentral:rRNA from 1 species
GGGCCCGCACAAGCGGUGGAGCAUGUGGUUUAAUUCGAUGCAACGCGAAGAACCUUACCAUCCCUUGACAUCCAGUGAACUUUCUAGAGAUAGAUUGGUGCCUUCGGGAACACUGAGACAGGUGCUGCAUGGCUGUCGUCAGCUCGUGUUGUGAGAUGUUGGGUUAAGUCCCGCAACGAGCGCAACCCUUAUCCUUAGUUGCCAGCGAUUCGGUCGGGAACUCUGGGGAGACUGCCGGUGAUAAACCGGAGGAAGGUGGGGACGACGUCAAGUCAUCAUGGCCCUUACGGGAUGGGCUACACACGUGCUACAAUGGCGCGUACAAAGGGCAGCGAACCUGCGAAGGUAAGCGAAUCUCAUAAAGCGCGUCGUAGUCCGGAUUGGAGUCUGCAACUCGACUCCAUGAAGUCGGAAUCGCUAGUAAUCGUGGAU